rnacentral:rRNA from 1 species
AGUGAACGCUGGCGGUAGGCCUAACACAUGCAAGUCGAACGGCAGCACAGUAAGAGCUUGCUCUUACGGGUGGCGAGUGGCGGACGGGUGAGGAAUACAUCGGAAUCUACUUUUUCGUGGGGGCUAACGUAGGGAAACUUACGCUAAUACCGCAUACGACCUACGGGUGAAAGCAGGGGAUCUUCGGACCUUGCGCGAUUGAAUGAGCCGAUGUCGGAUUAGCUAGUUGGCGGGGUAAAGGCCCACCAAGGCGACGAUCCGUAGCUGGUCUGAGAGGAUGAUCAGCCACACUGGAACUGAGACACGGUCCAGACUCCUACGGGAGGCAGCAGUGGGGAAUAUUGGACAAUGGGCGCAAGCCUGAUCCAGCCAUACCGCGUGGGUGAAGAAGGCCUUCGGGUUGUAAAGCACUUUUGUUGGGAAAGAAAAGCAGCAGGUUAAUACCCCGCUGUUCUGACGGUACCCAAAGAAUAAGCACCGGCUAACUUCGUG